CCCUUAGAUGUCCGGGGCCGCACGCGCGCUACACCGAAGGAAUCAGCGUGGCUUUCUCCCUGACCCGAAAGGGUUGGGAAACCCGUUGAAUCUCCUUCGUGAUAGGGAUUGGGGCUUGAAAUUGUUCCCCAUGAACGAGGAAUUCCCAGUAAGCGCGAGUCAUAAGCUCGCGUUGAUUACGUCCCUGCCCUUUGUACACACCGCCCGUCGCUACUACCGAUUGAACGGUUUAGUGAGGGCCUCGGAUUGGUCUCGGCCCGCUCUUUACCGGGCGGCGCCGUUGGUCGAGAAGACGCUCGAACUUGAUCGUUUAGAGGAAGUAAAAGUCGUAACA
rnacentral:rRNA from 1 species